AUGCUCACCUGAGCACAUACACUAAAACUUAAACUAUACUGACAAGAUCAGCAUAGUCCCAGCUCAAGGAUGACAUGGAAAACCACAAAAGUUGUGGGGCUAGAGUAUU
ensembl:snRNA U6 U6 spliceosomal RNA